rnacentral:rRNA from 1 species
GUGCACCAGGCGCGAAUCUUCGGCAAUGGACGCAAGUCUGACCGAGCGACGCCGCGUGCGGGAUGAAGGCCCUUGGGUUGUAAACCGCUGUCAGAGGGGAUGAAAUGCGAGAGGGCUAUCCCUCUCGUUUGACAGAGCCUCAGAGGAAGCACGGGCUAAGUACGUGCCAGCAGCCGCGGUAACACGUACUGUGCGAACGUUAUUCGGAAUCACUGGGCUUAAAGGGUGCGUAGGCGGUUUAGUAAGUAGGGUGUGAAAUGCCAGAGCUCAACUUUGGCACGGCGCUCUAAACUGCUAAACUUGAGUGAGAUAGGGGUGUACGGAACUUCCGGUGGAGCGGUGAAAUGCGUUGAUAUCGGAAGGAACACCGGUGCGAAAGCGGUACACUGGGUCUUAACUGACGCUGAGGCACGAAAGCCAGGGUAGCGAACGGGAUUAGAUACCCGCGUAGU